rnacentral:rRNA from 1 species
AACGAACGCUGGCGGCAGGCUUAACACAUGCAAGUCGAACGCGUGUAGCAAUACACGAGUGGCGCACGGGUGAGUAACGCGUGGAUAUCUGCCUUUUGGUUCGGAAUAACCCCGGGAAACUGGGGCUAAUACCGGAUGGUUCCUACGGGUUAAAGAUGUAUCGCCAAAAGAUGAGUCCGCGUGCGAUUAGCUAGUUGGUGGGGUAAUGGCUCGCCAAGGCGACGAUGGUUAGCUGGUCUGAGAGGACGAUCAGCCACACUGGGACUGAGACACGGCGCAGACUCCUACGGGAGGCAGCGGUGGGGAAUAUUGGACAAGGGGGGCAACCCUGAUCCAGCCACGCCGCGUGAGUGAUGAAGGCCUUCGGGUUGUAAAGCUCUUUUGGCGGGGACGAUGAUGACGGUACCCGCAGAAUAAGCCCCGGCUAACUUCGUGCCAGCAGCCGCCGUAACAC